UUUAAUUCGAAGCAACGCGAAGAACCUUACCUAAACUUGACAUCCCGAUGACCGGUCCUUAAUCGGACUCUUUGGUGCUUGCACUAACAUCGGCGACAGGUGGUGCAUGGUUGUCAUCAGCUCGUGUCGUGAGAUGUUGGGUUAAGUCCCGCAACGAGCGCAACCCCUAUCCUUAGUAGCCAGCAGUAAGAUGGGCACUCUAGGGAGACUGCCAGGGAUAACCUGGAGGGAGGCGGGGAUGACGUCAAAUCAUCAUGCCCCUUAUGUUUAGGGCUACACACGUGCUACAAUGGCUGCUACAAAGGGAAGCGAUCUCGCGAGAGUCAGCAAAUCUCAAAAAGGCAGUCCCAGUUCGGAUUGUAGUCUGCAACUCGACUACAUGAAGUUGGAAUCGCUAGUAAUCGCGAAUCAGAAUGUCG
rnacentral:rRNA from 1 species